GAAGAGCAGAGAAGAGCUGAUGGAGUGACAAGGAAUGGAACUUCCAACUGUAGGAGGCUAAGAAGAUACUCUGAUGGUGGAUCCAGCCUUGGGGUAGUGAAAAAACUUUCAGGAUAUCAAGUGGCGAUAAAAGCACUGAGCUCUGUGGCUGAGUUCAAAGCUUUGCAUCAGUGGUUGGAGACAGCAGAAGGCAGGCUGCAGCCUGCAGCCACAGGGAGUCGUGCCCUGGAGAUGGGGACACAGCUCAUACCUCAUCGUCGUGGCCAGUGGGCAGUCAGCAGCUCAGCCUGGCCGCAUGGUCUCCAAAGCUGGGAAGGCAAACCGCAGCAAGCAGCUGGGCAAGCAGAAAAUACAACACAGCAAGGCUUCUUUUGACCUCCUUCUCACUCGCAUGCAAAGCUGCCUUUACCAGAAAAGUCCCUGGGACAGCGCUUCUUUGGCAGUAUUCUCUGAAUUCCUUGACAUACAACUGAAGUGCUGAGAAUACUAUAAUAGUCAUUCAUCACAGUACAAAAGAAGCCAAGUCCAAGUCGUUACAGAAUGUAUCCAGCAGCUGCACUGGUACUGUUUUCACAG
ensembl:lncRNA